CUCCCUCCACGCCCUUCCAGCUUAUCCAGAAUCCAUCCAUCCUUCCAGUCUCUCCAACCUCAUGCCCCUCCUCUCCUACAAAGCCUGCCGGUCGGCUCUAUUGCAGGACUCUCCCCACUAUCCACCGGCUCCCCUGACUGGGAGCUCCCUGAGCACCGGGCCUGGGGUCUCCUACAUCCUCGGUUACUGAAUUCCCAGGCCGGCUGCGUCGGACGCGCCAGCAGCGCGGCCGCCCGGCAGGUCGCCGCCAAACAAGAGUCUGGACGCAGGCCAGAGGCUCGUCGGAGGCCGGCCCGGCGGGGCGGGGAGAGUUAACCCACGGCCGGGAAAAGAAGCUCCUGCUCCCCGCUCCACUCCCGGCGUCUUCACACUUGGGGAAGAGAGAGGCAGGAAGUGCAAGGACCGCGCAAGACCCGGCCCCCCGAGCCGCCAGGGGCCGCGCCAGCAGCCCAGAUGCGGUGGGCGGGAGCUGGGGGGGCGGCGGGGUGCCGCGAAGACCUGCGACCUGGCGCCCUCGCCGGCUGUGUCCCGGCCAGCCCGCUUUCCAGGCGAGCCCCGCUAAGGAGUGUGAGAAACCAAAUCCUCAGUGGGUAAACCGCGCUCCGUCCAGCCCACUCGGACGAGAGCUCUCCCGGGAGCGAGGCGCGUUGCUGCACCAGAGGUGGGGAAACCGGAGCCCGAAGAGCGGAAGGGGCUUAUUCUAGGCGACAGGCAGUGUCAGUAACUGAAUCAGGGGCCGAAGAAGUUUCCCCAGAAGCGCGGCUUCGCUCCCGGCCCGGCCCGACCCCGACUACUGUCCCCUAAUACCCGGGGAGCGGAAGACGCGACCAACUCCAGGCACAGCGGAGCCGGCGCGGGGUCCACAAAGGAGGGAGCUCCCAGGGAGAGGUCUGGGCCAUUUUUGGAAACCUACAAUGGAGGAACAUCAGGCUCAAAGACAGCCCUCAAUGGCUGAAGAUUUCUGAGCUUUCAUCUUUAAGACCUUCCUGUUACAUGUCCUCUUAAGAUCCUGGGGACUUGGCUGACCCCAAGCAGCACUGAUUCGUCGGUAUUCCAGCAGAGAGUAGCUGAUCACUUACCAAGAAUGUUGGAGACAGAAUUGGUGCAUCUAGUGGGGCUGUGGAGUGACUAGAUGAUUUCUGCAAUUCCUUUUAGACUGGAGACCCUGCACCUGAUAUGGGACCAGCUUCACUCCUGAGUCCAGCGAAACCACGAGCCCACCGAGAGGAACGAACAACUCCAGACGCGCUGCCUUAAGAGCUGUAACACUCACCGCGAAGGUCUGCACCUUCACUCUUGAGCCAGCGAGACCACGAACCCACCAGAAGGAGGAAACUCCGAACACAUCUGAACAUCAGAAGGAACAAACUCCAGACGCGCCACCUUAAGAGCUGUAACACUCACCGCGAGGGUCCGCGGCUUCAUUCUUGAAGUCAGUGAGACCAAGAACCCACCAACUUCGGACACUGGGAUUACAGGUGUGAGCCACCACGCCCGACUGAUUUAAUUGUUGAUUUAUUUUAGGUAAUCUGUUUUUUCUCUCUGGCUGCUUUAAGUUUUUGUUUGUUUUUUUAAGAGACAUGGUCUUGCUCUGUCAUCCAAGCUGGAGUACAGUGGCCCAAUCACAGAGCAUAGCUCACUGCAGCCUCGAACUCCUGAGCUGAAGUGAUCUGCUCAUUUCAGCCUCUCGAAGAGCUGGGACUAUGAGUGCACACCACCUCAUCUGGCUAAUUUAUUUUAUUUUAUUUAUUUUUUUUAGACAGAAUCUCACUCUGUCGCCCAGGCUGGAGUGCAGUGGUGCGAUCUCGGCUCACUGCAAGCUCCACCUCCCGGGUUCAUGCCAUUCUCCUGCCUCAGCCUCCUGAGUAGCUGGGACUACAGGUACCUGCCACCACG